GUUCUCUGGGAUAAAACAGAAGAAAAAAACAAAGAUUAAUUGAGCUCUUAGGGAAAAAAAUAGUAAAAAUGGUGUGUUGUUUGGUUUUGGAACCUUGCUUUCUUUACUCAUCUGGAUGAGAUGAAGGCACCAUGGAUGAGCCCAAAUUCGGCCGAGAACCUGGAAGUCUUUAAACAGUGUUGCCGUUUACCUGCACACAUCCAGCUAACACAGAGUGGAGCACGUGGGCGCGCUUCUUCAUGAUCCUGACGUCUUUUGGGGUGGAGUCAGCGCACUGCCCGUUCUCUAUGGGGUUGAUGAAUCUGUUCCUGAACUCACUCAGAGAACCAAGAAGAUUCUUCUUGAUGAAGCUGACCAUGCAGUGGUCUAUGGAAAUGAAAACAAAUCAUCAGUUUUUAUAUAUAUAUUUAUAUAUAUAUAUUUAUAUAUAUAUUUAUUCAUAUAUUUAUGAGGAAAAACUGGGGUUUUUAGGAUGGACAUAACUACGUUGGCCAAAUCCUUUCUGGUGGUGUGAUGAUGAGAACUAACAUUCAACAAGGUUGUUUUGAAGCGGCGUGCCAGUCAGCACCACCCUUCUUUGGGUUUUGAUAGCAGUCAUUGCUUUCAAGGUUAUGGUGGUUUGAUUGCGAAGGACGUGCCCCUCAUCACAAAUCACAAAGUCUGGACCUGUAAAAAGAAAAAAAAAAUGGAAAAAAAUGUCAAGAUGUGAGAAAAAAUGUGUUUGAAUGACAUUUUAUUUUUAAUAUCUGAACCUGGAUUCACUAAUAAAGACUUCAGCUCCUUCUUCAA